UCCAUCCUUCGCGGUAGCUCUGGUUUUACUGCUGAUGUAAACGUGCCGUCCAGAUCUGGAAUGCCUAGCACUAGCCGUGAAACUAAUUACGACUCUUCAGCUCGUUGUGUUUCGAUGUCUUAUGGAAUGAGGAUUCAAGGAACUGGAAGUAACGACGGGCCUAAACUGGAAGAAUCCGUCGCUGACUCGACGCAGAGAAUUGAAAGAGCUGCAUACAAGAAACUGAUGAUCGAAACAAAGCGAAGCCGCUACAGGCAAGUUGUGUUUCUUUAUCUAACCUAUUUUUUUUAACUAACGUAAUUGAACAAUUAUAGUGUUUACUACUCGGAGGAAGACGACGAUGAAGAAGGAAUUCGUGAAUGGUGCAAAACUACCGAGUUCAGUGGAAGAGCUGAUUUUCUUUGGUACGAUGUUCCGACCUAUGUGGACAAUUCAUAAUUUUUUUACGAUUCUGACUUUCGAACAACCCACUGUGAUGCCGACAACCCUACAUUUCAAAUUCAGGCAUUAUUUUGUUUUUGUUUUUUCAAGUUUUGACCGUCACGAAGUUCUCAACUGACCGAUUAGAACUCCAAAUUCUCUUAAAACUGUUAGUCCCCUUGACGUUUAUUCCCGUCUCGUCUUCUGUAGUGUUGUACAAAUUUAAAGUAUCCGAAUGAAAUCUUCUGCGUCACGUUUGGAUUUUAGCGCUCGACAUUUUAUUUCAAAUCGCGUUUAUUUUAAUCGUUCGUGGAUUCUGAGCAAUCUUCUAAGCGAUCUGUUCUCUGUCGCUACAUGGUUAAACUUAUGUUUACCAGAUGGCGAUUGCCUUUGUGAGGAAUUAUAUCGGCAAUUUGUUUUCGAGCAUUUUCGAGACGCUGAGCGAAAUCCAUUGUUGUAUUUCAAGUUUUCGACAUUUCUUUUAAGAGAAUGGAAAAGGUCAAGUAGCCUAUAAUUUCAACUAUAGGCCAAAUCAGUGAAUCACCUAUUCUCGUGGCCAACACUGCUGUCACGAAAGUCUUCUCUUGGCAGUGUAGGCUGUAGCUGCUGUACGUCUCAUUCCAUGAGGAAAUACAACAGUUGAGCUAGGAUGAUGCUCAUCUUCUGCCUGGCACAACAUUCGACCAGCAAUCAACUUCAAUAUGGCACGAAAGAGAUAAAGGGCUGAAAAAAAGAGAUCAAUGGAAUACAUAUUGUUAAUUAUACCAAAGGUUAAAAACACAAAAUCUGGGAAGAGAAAAUAAUUCAUUUUCUCUUUUACAGCCAAUGGAAUUGGCGCUAGUUGUUUGCGAAUGUUAUUUGAAGACCAGGAAGGUGACAGGUGACCAGUGAAGGUGACUUUGAAUGCUUGCAUUCAAAGUCUUAAACUUUUCCAUCAUGAAAUGAAAAGAGUAGUUUUAGUUUAGAUUCUUCAAGGUUGCUGAAUGCCAACAAUUAUGCAUUAAUUUAACGUAAUUUUUAGUGAGAAAUUUAAAUUUGGUCAAGUCUGCUCUUGUGGCCUAAAGUGCACUCAUAAAAUGUCUUGUAAUCUGUAGGCUGCAGUUGCUGUACAUCUCAUCCCACGAAGAAAUACAACAGCAAUUGAAGUAAUUAUGUUGGAUCACUUUUCCUGCUUAUAGGCUUAAGAAUAAGUUGGGUCAUCAGAGAAUAUAUUCAUUCGUGUUUUUGUUGGACUAACAUAUUGGAGAAAUUUUGCUAGGGGGCACCACACUUCUUACUCUUCCUGAUGAUAUUGCAAUUUGAUUCAUCCGUCCCUUAAUACUCAACAAAAUACCAGCAGAGAGAAAAUUGAGGAAAACAUGGAAUUGCUGCUGGCACGGGAUGAACGCUCCGCUGUCGUCGCCGCUGCCGUCGCCGCUGCCCACUCUCUUGAGACCGCAAAUGUUGGCUCCGCACUCGACCCGAAUCAACAAUCGGGCACCGCCACGCAUCGCUCAAGUGCCCUUUGAGGCUAUCCCGCUGGAGUUGGGCAACUCGGCCGGCAAACCCGGUCAAUCGUUGCCUUUCGGUGUGCCGUUAAGGCCCCCCGUCUUCCCACCCAAACUGCCGCAGACUGGACAGAAGGUGCAGGGACUUCCGUUCACCUCUGGUAUCCCGUUUCCCAUUCAGCUGUUUCCGCCCGUCUCGCCCAAUCGGCCCUGGCCUCCUACGAACCCGCUCGUGUCCGAAUCCCCUCUGCCCGCUCUCGUGACUUUGACCACCGAGACAUCGUCGACCGUUCAAACGAAUCCGAGUCCGUUACCCAACAACUUUCCUGCAAUCAAUUUGACCGAAACUCCAGCCAUCCCACACAUUAUCGAAACGACUUUAUCAGUUUUUUUUUUCCUGAAGACUCCAGUGUCCGUCACCCUACGGUGGUUGCAGUUGUAACGACAGCAGCAACAAUAACAAAAAUAACAACGACAACAACACAGUUACCGCUACCGAAAUCGACUACCAUCCUAGUUCACGAGUAAUCGUCGAUCGAUAUCUCUUCUAUAAUGCAACCGUCCAUCGAGGACGAAAGCUCGUCGAGCGGCCUUUUGCCGUUGGAUGGCCCGUCUCUUGUUCCGCCAGUGAUGUCUUCAUCAUUGCCUGCGAUGCUUUACUCCUGUGAUAUCUCCUCCUUUUUGUCCGUCCUUCAAAGCUGGCCUACGCCGUCCACUGUGCCUCAAUUGGAGGCCGGCACUCCUCCUAAUGUCCUUCAACUGCCCGACAGUAACAGAUACACGCCCCCACUGCCGUCUGGCCGUCCGGGUCAAGUCUUCCACGACGAAUAUUUGUCUCCGGCCAACGGUUACGGCGACGUUGACGUCAUCACCAGCGACAACAUUCAACCGCACGGAACCUACGGCGAUACCUUCGAACUGGUCGUCACCGCUGCCCAGAAUUUCGGCGGAUCCUCGCCGCCCGUCAACAACGGAAGGCCUUACGUCAUUCCGGUUGACAUCGACAAUGUUCACGGAGGCCUACAAUCACCUGCUUCGGUGGAAUCCGAUGAAUACGUUUCGAUUGACGGCCGCAAAACAUACUUUAAUCUCUUUCCAACGGAAACAGUCGACGGGAACGAACCGAUGGUCCAAGCGACCGCCAUGCCAAAACCAGCACCGAUGAGCCAUUGGAUACGGUUACGCUUAAACGGAGAGCCCUGUUGAGCCAGUUCGACCGGCAGCUCCGCCCAGGCUAAGUUAUCCGGUAGCUGCAGCACCGGUUGUUGUCAAUCGGCCCACUGCUUUACUUAUUAGAAGACCAUCCAUGACUCUUCUUGGACUCCGGAUCGACGCCUGCAUCGUGGGAGACCCUAAUGCCUGUUUAAGAGCCCAAAAAAUCGUGUCAAGCCGAAGAAGAUGGAUCAGCUUGCUCUUGUAAACCGGGUUUUUGGCCGGAAGAAAUCCAGUGAAGUCUGCAAAGGAUUGACCAGUCUCCUGGUAUCAAAGAGAUUAGACCGAUUGGACAAUCAGAGAUUAGCCAUAAAGUUUAUCCGUUCUAGAAAAAACUUUUUUCAGCAUCGAUUUCAUGUUUUAUUUCAAACGCACUAGACCAUUGGUAUUAUUUGUUGAUUGUUAUGCUUUAUUAUAUAUAAUCUCAAUCAGAAGAA
rnacentral:misc_RNA from 1 species